UACAGAGGGGUGCUAGCGUUUGUUCGGAAUCAUUGGGCGUAAAGGGCGUGUAGGCGGUUUGCUAAGUCAUGUGUGAAAUCCCUCGGCUUAACCGGGGAACGACGCAUGAAACUGGCAAGCUAGAGUACCAAAGAGGGGGGUGGAAUUCCCCGGUGUAGCGGUGAAAUGCGUAGAUAUUGGGAGGAACACCAGUGGCGAAGGCGGCUCACUGGACCGGAACUGACGCUGAGGCGCGAAAGCGUGGGGAGCAAACAGG
rnacentral:rRNA from 1 species